GGCAUAUUUUAUUUGUAAUGUUCAUGUUUCAUGUUGCCUAACACUUAGUGAAGCAAUGUGCCAUUAGAGAUUCCUCAAAGAAUUUAUUGACUUUCACAUACUCUCAGACUUGUUUUUCAUAUUCAUGCUUUUAUAAACUAGGAGAAGAUAAUAUUUUCUUAAUAAGCAAGCAGUUAGGUUGGUUCAAGACCCUUUCAGUCAUCCAGGAAAUCAAUGAUUUUUGUUUUGCAGCUUAGCAUGUCAG
rnacentral:misc_RNA from 1 species